AAAGGUAAGCUACUAAGAGCGAAUGGUGGAUGCCUUGACUGGUAAAGGCGAUGAAGGACGUACUAGACUGCGAUAAGCUACGGGGAGCUGUCAAGAAGCUUUGAUCCGUAGAUUUCCGAAUGGGGCAACCCAAUGUAUAGAGAUAUACAUUACCUAUAUAGGAGCGAACGAGGGGAAUUGAAACAUCUUAGUACCCUCAGGAAAAGAAAUCAAUAGAGAUUGCGUCAGUAGCGGCGAGCGAAAGCGCAAGAGGGCAAACCCAGUGCUUGCACUGGGGGUUGUAGGACUGCAAUGUGCAAGAGCUGAGUUUAGCAGAACAUUCUGGAAAGUAUAGCCAUAGAGGGUGAUAGUCCCGUAUGCGAAAAACAAAGCUUAGCUAGCAGUAUCCUGAGUAGGGCGGGA
rnacentral:rRNA from 1 species